UACAGAGGUCUCAAGCGUUGUUCGGAUUCAUUGGGCGUAAAGGGUGCGUAGGUGGCAUGGUAAGUCGGAUGUGAUAUCCCGGGGCUCAACCCCGGAACUGCAUUCGAUACUGCUGCGCUAGAGUACUGGAGAGGAGAUUGGAAUUUACGGUGUAGCAGUGAAAUGCGUAGAUAUCGUAAGGAAGACCAGUGGCGAAGGCGGAUCUCUGGACAGUUACUGACACUGAGGCACGAAGGCCAGGGGAGCAAACGGG
rnacentral:rRNA from 1 species